AUGAAAAAUCAUAAAGUUAUAGUCUUACCGGCCGGAGGCUUCUUCAAUCAUGGUGAGCGGAGCAACAAAUCUAGAGACUCAGCAAUUCAGGUAGCUCCAUUUUCUUGCUUCCGCACUUUCAAUUUUUUCCUUAUUCUCUUGUUCUACUCUGAUUAUCUGAUGCGUAUGCUUGCGUUUUUUGUUGAUUUUGCGUUUCUAUCGAAACACGGAUCAUUGAUGGUGAUUCUUUAA